AGAGCACCCCCCCCCGCCGCGCGCGCACGCCUGACGUCAGCGGCCAGCGUGAGUCACGCGCGCAGGGAGAGCGCGAGGCGGCCUCUUCCUCCCCCCCUUCCUCCUCCGGCCCGGCCCAGACCGGUUCCAACCUGCUGGGGCCGGUCCCAACUGCCUCCAACUGCCACCAACCUCUGGUCGGGCUGUCGGGCGGGAAACUCGGUCCUGGCCGCCGAGUGGGGAAGGCGGGAGCUCGGGAUGCAGAGUGCACUCUCCCUAGGCCAGGCCUUCGAGGCCUAACUGUUCCUCAGACCAUAAAACCACAGUAGUAGGCUCUUUUGGGGGCAGUGAGAAGUCCAAGACACAACCAAGACGAGUUCCGUGGGGUCCAGCCCCAGAACCCACCUAUGAAUGAUGAUUAGCGUGAAGUCCUGUCAGGAGAUUCCGUGCAUUUUGCACAGGAAGCCUUUUGUGUCCCUAAGGCUCGUAGGUUGUCCACGAGGGCCACCCUUGCUUGAAUUCACAGUCGACGUAGAUAAACAUGCAGAGAUGGAAACGUGUCGGUGCGUGCCCAUGACCGUUUCCCUCGCGGGCUGUGCGGAGCCUGAAUCUGGGAGCCCGAAGGUGAUGGGUUCCAAGUAUGUCUGCAGGCUCAGCAGAAAUGUGGCAUUAGAGGGAGCCCCAAAUACUGACACUACAGGAGUCCAGCAAGAUGGGAAAACCUCUUGCUGGAAGUCUGCAUCUGUGUGCUUUUAGGUCGCUGUCUUCAUUUCCUUCAAGCCACAUUAAGCAUUCAUUUCCUAGAGUUAGUUGGUGUGGGAGAAAGAUGAAUAAGGGUCAGGUUUCUCCUGUUAAGCAAAAUGUUGCUUUCCAUUUUCCCUGAUGCUCUGUGAAUGCCUCGCAUCCCCGUGAGCUCCUGAGUGAUGUGCAUGUUUAAAAGGAUCACCAGCUGCGAGAGGUUUUGGAACCUGGGGGGUUGAGCAGCUCUUAAGUUGUUCAGUGAACGAAGAGCAGAAUCAUCUGUUGGAGUAGAAAGAACUCAAACCAGUCAGGAGGAACUCUUGUUAUAGAAGACCUUGGGAAACUGUUCUGGGGUUGGGGAACAUUGGUUAUAGGAAGUGUAUGGUUUCUUUGUGGGAUUCUCUGUUGUUGGCUGAAAUCAUUUAAGCUUCUUGACUACAGUCUGACUCACGUUAACCAUUCCUUUUCUGAUACGGACAUUGCUUUCCUGGUCCUUUCUUACUGGAGAUCUUUCGCAGUCUUUCCAUUGAUUUUGGUGAGAUGUUCUUAGCUCAAAGACUACUUAUCAGUUGAAUGGUGUAGUCUUGAUUUUCGAAUCUGGAAACUUCACAUAAUUGGAACUUCUUUAUAAUCUCUGGUUGCCCAGAUCACUUGUUUUUAGCAAAAUAAACACAUUUUGAGUCAUGAGAGUCUUGGUUUCAGCAACUUAUGUUUCUGUGUUGUGUUGUCAUUGAGCAUACUAUGGAAUCUGUAUUAGAAAGGCUUUCUUAUUUUGGACUUGACAGGUGAAACAAGUGAACAGCUGAGUAAAUGUCAGUAUCAGUCUUUGUCCUCUUUAUGCUCAUUUGUUUAAAACCUGUCUUUCCGGCCGGGCGUGGUAGCUCAUGCUUGUAAUCACAGCAUUUUGGGAGGCCGAGGCGGAUCACAUGACAUCAGGAGUUCGAGACCAGCCUGCCCAAUAUGGCAAAACCCCGUCUCUACUAAAAAUACAAAAAAUUAGUUGGGUGUGCUGGCGGGCGCCUGUCAUCCCAGCUACUCAGGAGGCUGAGGCAGGAGAAUCGCUUGAACCCGGGAGGCGGAGGUGGCAGUGAGCCGAGAUCGCGCCGCUGCACUCCAGCCUGAGCACAAGAGCAAAACUCCGUCUCAAAAAACAGAAACAAAAACAAAAAAAACCCUGCCUUUCCAUUCCUUGUGGCUAUGUUAGAUACUAAAGAAGGCUUCCCCACAACCCAUAUGCAUCUGCUUUGACUGGUGGUUUCUAUCAUCCUACAAAGACUGUGACUUAUUGGUGAGGGCAGCUGGACAACUCUGAGAGCAACUUAGAGAAAUCCAUCUUGGGCACACUCUAUAAAGGAGCUCCUUCUCUGCAAAUAGCACCCCAGAUAAGUGCACAAAAGCAAGAUACCCUCGUGGACCUACACGUCCUCCCGCUUUUCAACACCCUGAUGCCUGAAGCUAUGGUUGAUACUAAAGGAGGUUUUCCCACUAUCCGUAUGCAUCUUCUCUGUUUUGAGAUUGCAACUAUGGACAGUUAUGGCUAAUCCUAGUAGAUUGUCUUCCCUUCUUUUAACAUCUUGGAUGAAUUUGGGUCACACUAAUUGUUAUGUGAAGAUGGAUGUUGAAUUGUGUAGAAUUUGACAGCAGUAUCAAGAGCUGAGGAGAAGGAGAAGAUGGAAAGGAGUCUAGCAACUUAAAAAUCUCACAGCAUUCUCUGUGAGGUGACCUUUUUUCCUGUUGGUGGCUCAAUUUCUUUAGGACAUAAAGAAGAUACUGAGGCCUGUGACAGCCUGUGACAGUAUCAUCAAGUCGUAUCUGAACUUAUUGAACUGUUUCCUCCCCUUCCUUAUUCUUUAUUCACAGUUUGCUUUUCAUGUGCAUAAGUUGACUCAUUUGUUUCUUGUUAGCAUUUGAAACACCAUAUAGUCACCAUAAGUCCUGACAAAAUGACUUAAUGGGGAGGGGGAAGGUCCAUGUCCCACCUUCCUAUGAAAUUUUGGCCUAUUCACAAGUCUACCCCCUCAUAGGUGAAGUAGUUAUGUUCUGUAAAGAAGAGAUUGAUAAAAACCUUUAGCAUGGUGUUUUGUGACUUAGAAGUUUUAAGUAGUCAUUCUUAUAUCUAAGCAUUUAUUGAUUUUGGUAAGAACAUUACUAUAUGUUUCUGAUGUCACUUUUACUGUUAAGAGGUGCCAGGCAUCUGGUGGCCUGCCACUUCAGGAUUUGUGUGAAUCAGACCAUCUAAAUAUAAUAGAAAUUAGAGACUAGUACUUGUAUUUCCUGAUUAAAAACAAAUUAACCUGUUUUACUAUUGAAGUAAGAGUACUUUAUAAUGAAUACAAAAAUGUAUAUUAAAUGUCCAGUAGAGCAUGCUAAAGUGAACAUUUCUGUUUUUAUUUCAGCAACUUAUUUUAUGGUAUUGUAGUUAUGGCCUGUCUGAAACUCUCUGACAUAUUCUAAACAGCUUUCAGAGAGUCACUGAGGCUUAUUUGCUACUACUCUUGUUUUUCCUUUAGCUCAGUUAAGAAAUGCUUAGUUCGCCGGGCUUGGUGGCUCACGCCUGUAAUCUCACCACUUUGGGACGCUGAGGCGGGUGGAUCGCCUGAGGUCAGGAGUUCGAGACCAGCCUGGCCAACAUAGUGAAACCCCAUCUCUACUAAAAAUACAAAAAACUAGCUGGGUGUGGUGGCGGGCACCUGUAAUCCCAGCUACUAGGGAGGCCGAGGCAGGAGAAUCACUAGGACCCAGGAGGCGGAGGUUGCAGUGAGCCGAGAUCGCGCCAUUGUACUCCAACCUGGGCAACAAGAGCGAAACUCCGUCUCAAAAAAAAAAAAAAAAAGCUUAGUUAACAGUCAGCAUGGUAGUUAAGAGUACUGACUCCAGGGUCGCACCACCUGGAUUUGAGGCCCAUCUCUGUCAGUUACUAGCUGUGAGAUUUUGGGCAAGUGACUUACCUCUUUGUGUAUCAGUUUCCUGAGAAUAGGAAUAUUACCUGUCUCAUGGGGUUGUUAUAAGGGUGAAAUAAAUGAGUUCGUAUAUGUAAAGCGGUUAAAACAGUGCUUGGCACUUAGCACAGCGUAGGUACUGUUCUCCGCCAUUAUUUGAACAGGGCCCUAGUCACUGCUUUCAGUUGCAUUGCUCCUUGCUUCAACAGCCCUGAUUGAAUGCCUUCUUUAGUUGCAUCCACACUAAAAUAGAUUCUUCAGUUCCUAGGGCACGCACGGGGCAGCAGCAUCUUCAGAGAACAGUUCUCUCUUCCACGUCCACUUGAAUUCUUAUUUCAUUCUCCAGUCUUUGUAGUGCCUCCAUCAUACUGCUUGUAUCUUACAUGAUGGAUGUGUGUUCUAAACUGACCCACGCAGUUUAGGGCCAAAUACUUUGUUGUACAGAAAACAGUGUACAAAGAACGUGUUAGUUUAAACAUGUUACUAAAGUGUCAUAAAACUGGAGGUUUUCCAGGCUAGCUAUGUACAGAAAAACUUUUGAGGGUUUUUUUUUUUUGUUUUUUUUUUUUUUUUGCUUUUUGAGACAGGGUCUCAGUCUGUUGCCUAAGCUGGAGUGCAGUGGCAUGAUCUUCGCUCACUGCAACCUCCGCCUCCCGGGUUCAAGCGAUUGUAGUGCCUCAGCCUCCUGAGUAGCUGGGAUUACAGGCAUGUGCCACCACACCUGGCUAAUUUUUGUAUUUUUAGUAGAGAUGGGGUUUCACUAUGUUGGCCAGGCUGGUCUCAUACUCCUGACCUCAAGUGAUCUGCCCGUCUUGGCCUCAAAGUGCUGAGAUUACAGGUGUGAGCCACCAUGCCUGGCCAGAAAAACUUUGAAUAAAGUCAAGGUAUCAUAUAAUUUCGGGGAGGAUGAAUGGGGGUUUUUAGUACUCUCGAAUAUUCUCUAAAUCAGUGACGUGAGUGACCCUUAUGUUAACCUUCCUCAGUUUCACUAGCUCUAGGCCCCAUAGGGCAAGGGGACAGUUAUAGAAAGAAGGGACCAUGGACACACAGGACUAAUUGCAUACCCUUCCUGGCUCUUGUUAGUUCUUGGGGCCAGGACAGCUCACAGGUGUCAGAAAGUUCCAGUGAGCCCCAGUGAAAAGUGGGCUGAAAUAAUUGCCAGUGAUUGGCUCCCCCACUGUAAAACACUGACUUGCUUGAGUGCCCGUAGCACUUGAACUGUGGGUUGCUGUGUGUGUGUGCAUGUGCGUGUGUGCCCAGGUGCGGUAGGGAGUUUCAUCGCACAUAUUGUAUUUACUCUGACUAAAGGCCAGUGUGGGAUCAAAGACUACCUUAAAGGUUCAGACACACUUAGAAAUUCACUAGACACUUGUUUUAUUUGUCUGAAUAAUACUCCCUGAGCUUGCUUUUUCUGCCAGAGAGAAUAUUCUAAAUCAGGAUCACUUUAGAAGAUUUGGAAGCCACAUCUCUAUAGCUGUGUAGUGUGUCAGAUCUAUCCAAAUAUUUACCUACCACCAAUUAUAGCUUUAUUUGGCCUUAUUUUUUAAAGCUUUUUUUUUUUUUUUUUUUUUUUUUUGAGAUACGGUCUUACUCUGUCACCCAGGCUAGAGUGCAGUGACGUAAUCAUAGCUCACUGCAGCCUUGAACUCCUGGGCUCAAAUGAUCCUCUCACUUCAGCCUCCUGAGUAGCUGGGACUGCAGGUGUGUACCACCACACCCGACUAAUUUUUUAUUUUUAAAUUUGUUUUGUGAAGUCAGGGUCUUACUGUGUUGUCAGGCUGAUCUGGAACUUCUGGCCUCAAGCAGUCAUCCUGCCUCUGCUCCCCAAAGUGCUGGGCCCGAGACACCACACCCAGCCUAAACUAAAAGCCAUUUUUAGUAACUCCCACCAAUGUGGUUACUGUUACAAAGUCGUGUGGUUUCUGAGUCAUGUUUGGUAUCAGAAUAUGUAUGUAUAUCCUUAUAAAUAUGGAAUGUAGAACUGACAGUAGUUUACCUAUCAGAUUUGCAAAAAUAAGGAAAGAUUUUUAGCAGCUUAUAACAAACAUAUACAUACUUGGAUAAAUAAUUUAGAAUUUUAAUCUACGGCAAAUAUGCUCUUACAAUAUUCUCUUUCAGAGUAAAACAUACUUUAUUCUCAAACUUAAAGAACCUUUGAUAAGCUGUGAAUUAUGACCUCAGUGACUACAUUUCUUUUUAGGAGUUAUAUGUGGGGGAAGGAAAGAAGUAGCUAGCAGGGUUAACAUGGAAAGCAGGAGAUUACAGACAAGCAUCAUUUGAGCCUUUGGAUACUACAAAUAAUAUUAAAAAAUGACGGGUUUUUUGACUUUUUGUUUUUCCUUUCCUUUGGUGCUAGUUGCAGAAUCCUAUCAUAUUGUGGUUAGAUUUCAAUAAAGAAUGUUUAAGAUUAGGA